rfam:Otolemur garnettii contig144127, whole genome shotgun sequence.
CAGGUGUGGUGACACUUCAGUCAUGCUGCAGACGCCUAAGUCCACAGUGGGGAGGCCAACCCAGGGGAGCUGAGCAG